GGGAUUGCCCCAGUAACGGCGAGUGAAGCGGCAACAGCUCAAAUUUGAAAUCUGGCCCCUAGGGUCCGAGUUGUAAUUUGUAGAGGAUGCUUUUGGUGAGGUGCCGCCCGAGUUCCCUGGAACGGGACGCCGCAGAGGGUGAGAGCCCCGUCUGGCUGGCCACCGAGCCUCUGUAAAGCUCCUUCAACGAGUCGAGUAGUUUGGGAAUGCUGCUCAAAAUGGGAGGUAUAUGUCUUCUAAAGCUAAAUAUUGGCCAGAGACCGAUAGCGCACAAGUAGAGUGAUCGAAAGAUGAAAAGCACCUUGAAAAGAGGGUUAAACAGUACGUGAAAUUGUUGAAAGGGAAGCGCUUGUGACCAGACUUGGGCGCGGCGGAUCAUCCGGGGUUCUCCCCGGUGCACUUCGCCGCGUUCAGGCCAGCAUCAGUUCGGCGCGGGGGAAAAAGGCUUCGGGAACGUGGCUCCUCCGGGAGUGUUAUAGCCCGUUGCAUAAUACCCUGUGCUGGACUGAGGACCGCGCAUCUGCAAGGAUGCUGGCGUAAUGGUCACCAGCGACCCGUCUUGAAACACGGACCAAGGAGUCGUCUUCGUAUGCGAGUGUUCGGGUGUCAAACCCCUACGCGUAAUGAAAGUGAACGCAGGUGAGAGCUUCGGCGCAUCAUCGACCGAUCCUGAUGUUCUCGGAUGGAUUUGAGUAAGAGCAUACGGGGCCGGACCCGAAAGAAGGUGAACUAUGCCUGUAUAGGGUGAAGCCAGAGGAAACUCUGGUGGAGGCUCGCAGCGGUUCUGACGUGCAAAUCGAUCGUCAAAUAUGGGCAUGGGGGCGAAAGACUAAUCGAACCUUCUAGUA
rnacentral:rRNA from 2 species